UCCUGGAUGUCUCAGUCGGUAGAGCAUGAGGCCUUUAAUCUCCGGGUCAUGGGUUCAAGCCACAUGCUGGGCA